rnacentral:misc_RNA from 1 species
GUUAAUUCUCGCUUUCUCCACCCACCCCUACUUCCCAAAAUCAACUAUUUCCUCCCACCUUAUCUCCUCCCCAACUUCAGACCAUUGCCCUGCAUACAUUGCUCUUCCUUGCAACAUUCAGUGCAACCACCAAGAGGGAGAGAAAAGAAUUAGGAGUAGGUCACAAGAAGCUCUUGGUGCAUCCAGUUUGACUAUAGCUUCCUUCAGUUCCUU